UGGUAGUCAGUUUUAGGAAUUUUACUUUGUGGCAGUAAAGGAAGUCGUUGACUACUACCUA
rnacentral:tRNA from 1 species